rnacentral:tRNA from 1 species
CAGGUGUUAGUUUAUUUAAAAUAUUGGUUUUGGAGACCAGAGAUAGAAACUUUUCUACUCCUGA